CUCCUCCGGCAGCUCAGCAAGGCGCACAGCAGUGCUCGGGAGGCUCCCUCAAAGAGCUGACACUAUGGUGAAGCCCCUCGCCCUGAGCUCCUCAGACACCAUCUGGAAGGACACAGAGGACCAGCGGGACCUACCACACCGUUUGCCCUGAAUUCACC
rnacentral:lncRNA from 1 species